rnacentral:rRNA from 1 species
GACGAACGCUGGCGGCGUGCUUAACACAUGCAAGUCGAACGGAAAGGCCCUGCUUUUGUGGGGUGCUCGAGUGGCGAACGGGUGAGUAACACGUGAGUAACCUGCCCUUGACUUUGGGAUAACUUCAGGAAACUGGGGCUAAUACCGGAUAUGAGCUCCUGCUGCAUUGUGGGGGUUGGAAAGUUUCGGCGGUUGGGGAUGGACUCGCGGCUUAUCAGCUUGUUGGUGGGGUAGUGGCUUACCAAGGCUUUGACGGGUAGCCGGCCUGAGAGGGUGACCGGCCACAGUGGGACUGAGAUACGGCCCAGACUCCUACGGGAGGCAGCAGUGGGGAAUAUUGAACAAUGGGCGGAAGCCUGAUGCAGCAACGCCGCGUGCGGGAUGACGGCCUUCGGGUUGUAAACCGCUUUCGCCUGUGACGAAGCGUGAGUGACGGUAAUGGGUAAAGAAGCACCGGCUAACUACGUG